AUUGAACGCUGGUGGCAUGCCUUACACAUGCAAGUCGAACGGCAGCACGGGAGCAAUCCUGGUGGCGAGUGGCGAACGGGUGAGUAAAGUAUCGGAACGUGCCCAGUCGUGGGGGAUAACGUAGCGAAAGUUACGCUAAUACCGCAUACGAUCUAUGGAUGAAAGCGGGGGAUCGCAAGACCUCGCGCGAUUGGAGCGGCCGAUAUCAGAUUAGGUAUUUGGUGGGGUAAAGGCUCACCAAGCCGACGAUCUGUAGCUGGUCUGAGAGGACGACCAGCCACACUGGGACUGAGACACGGCCCAGACUCCUACGGGAGGCAGCAGUGGGGAAUUUUGGACAAUGGGCGAAAGCCUGAUCCAGCCAUGCCGCGUGCAGGAUGAAGGCCUUCGGGUUGUAAACUGCUUUUGUACGGAACGAAAAGGUUUGGCCUAAUAAGCUGAGCUCAUGACGGUACCGUAAGAAUAAGCACCGGCUAACUACGUGCCAGCAGCCGCAGUAA
rnacentral:rRNA from 1 species